CAAAAAUCAAGUGUUCAUUUGAUGAACUUCAUUUCCUUAAACAUCCAGAAUUGGAGCUCAUAUCUUUGGCAGCUGUAAAGUUUCUGCUCCUUCAAAGUUCACAAAACAAUGAAUGAAUUCCUAAAACACUCUCAAUGCUGGAGAGCGUUUGUGAUGCUGAAGCAGUGAGCAGUUUUUCAGUUUCUUCUCUGGAGAUGCACAAUGAGGGACGUCUGCAGCGACUGAGAAAGAGUCUCACCACAUCCUGACAUGAGGAAAAAGACUUUAUUGAAGACUACAAUGAGAAAAACUAUCAGACAGCAGACGGCUGCAUUCAAGUCUGUAGCUGCUGAAUUCAUGGAUGAAUCAUCUGGCACUAGAGAGGAAGAUCAUCAAACAUCCACAUCAGCUGAUGGAGGUCCAAGAGUCUCACCAAACAAACAACCUACAGAGUGAAGACCUCCAAUCUGAUUGGACGGCCUCCUAUUCAGCCACAUGCUGUUAGAUUGUUCCAGAUAAGACAAGUACAAGAUUCUUCAGAGCCGUUCUACCAGGAGCCUGACAGGAAGAACUCCAACAGCUAC
ensembl:lncRNA